rnacentral:rRNA from 1 species
UUUCGAGGGUGACCUUCGGAGGAUCAUACACACAAAAUAGAUGCCUUGGCUUUCCGGCGGGAUGAACAAUUUUUUUCACCCCAAGUUUUUUGUGCACUUGUUGUUUCCUUGGCGGGUUCGCCUCGCCACCAGGACCAAACCAUAAACCUUUUUUUCUUAUGCAGUUUCCAUCAGCGUCAGUAAAAACAAUGUAAUUAUUACAACUUUCAACAACGGAUCUCUUGGUUUUGGCAUCGAUGAAGAACGCAGCGAAAUGCGAUACGUAGUGUGAAUUGCAGAAUUCAGUGAAUCAUAGAAUCUUUGAACGCACAUUGCGCCCUUUGGUAUUCCAAAGGGCAUGCCUGUUCGAGCGUCAUUUGUACUUUCAAGCUUUGCUUGGUUUUGGGCGUUUUUUUGUCUCCCUCUUUCUGGGAGACUCGCCUUAAAACGAUUGGCAGCCGGCCUACUGGUUUCGGAGCGCAGCACAUUUUUUGCGCUUUGUAUCAGGAGAAAAGGACGGUACUCCAUCAAGACUGAUACAUUUUUCACGGUGAUCCUCGGAUUGCCGGGGAAG